AAACCAUUGUAAGUCAAUGGGUGCCGGAUACGUUUUCUAUUGUGUCCGAGAAAACGGAUCCGGCACCAUUGACUUACAUUGUGUGUCAUGUUGGAUCCAUCUUGCUCCGCAUCCCAUGCCGGAUUGCAACGGUUUUCUGUUCGGUUUGGGAACGCAACCAAACGGAAUGCAUUCUGGUGCACUCUGUUCCGUUCAGUUUUGCUCCAUUGACAAUGAAUUGGGACAAAACGGAUGCACUUUCCUCGGGUAUUGAGAUCCGGUGCUGGAUCUCAAUAAAGGAAAGGCAAAACGUAGAUGUGAAAGUAAACUAAUAAAACAGUGGCCGACAUUUACUAAUCCUGUGACAGUCUGAAAAUGUGGUUGAUAAAACUAGUGUAUCUUUAGACUGUUUAGUGUAUACACCUAUAGUUGGCUUAGUUUAUGCAAAAAAUGUGUCAAUGUCCCAACGUGCCUUGAAAAUCUGUGUCAAUGCAAAAAAUGAUUUCUGUGUGCCCACAUUCCAUCCUCAAUGUGGCAAAAUUCUUUCCAUCAAAAGCUCAACUCUAAAUUGGUCUACUCUGCAUCACUUUUAUGCACCAGAAUCAUUGAAUUCAGCUUAUUAAAUGUAUCUAAAGUUAGACCAAAGUUGACCACUCUUACGUUCUAUUUUGAAACCUGGAAAUGUCUAGGGUUUGGGGGGAAAAAAAUCUUUCUUUUUGGUGCAUCUGAAUAAUCAAUGCAUUGCCCAUGUGUGUUUGGGGUUGGGUCAAUUAGUGGAUUAGUCUGUGGAUGAAAUAUUAUCGCCAAUCUGUUUGUAUAUUCACAUCUAUAGCAGAGUCAUUAUAUCUAACCAGGUUUCCUGUAUGGGAGUCUUCUCUUGUCAUGGCACGUCAUGUAUUUGCUGCUACAUUUUAUUUGAUGUCUAAUUUGUAUUGUAUGUAUUUCUACCAAUUAAAUGUCAUUAUAUUAUAUGUGUGCUUUUGUUUUUUGGUGAUUCUUUGCAUUGUGUCACACAUAUUCAGCUAAUUGCAAAUUGUUUGUAUCGGAUGCUUGAAUAAUAAAUGUGUCUAAAUUUAGGUGCAUCAGAAUUUUGGAGCGGACAAUUCCAAAAAAGUGGAAUAAUUAUCAUAGUAAAUGGGGCCAGUGUGUAGUAAGGUCCUAAGUGUUGACUGCAUGCAGACAGAUUUAGAUCUUUACAUCUUUAUCAGCACUGGAAAUUUGGAGAUGUGUAUCUGAAAAG